rnacentral:rRNA from 1 species
UGCCAGCAGCCGCGGUAAUACGUACCGGACAAACGUUAUUCGGAAUCACUGGGCUUAAAGAGUACGUAGGCGGUCCAAUAAGUCAGGUGUGAAAGCCCCCGGCUCAACCGGGGAACUGCACUUGAUACUGUUGGACUUGAGAGUGGAAGGGGUGAGCGGAACUCCAGGUGGAGCGGUGAAAUGCGUAGAUAUCUGGAGGAACACCGGUGGCGAAAGCGGCUCACUGGCCCACUUCUGACGCUGAGGUGCGAAAGCUAGGGUAGCGAACGGGAUUAGAUA